rnacentral:rRNA from 1 species
AACGAACGCUGGCGGCAUGCCUAACACAUGCAAGUCGAACGAGAUCUUCGCGUCUAGUGGCGCACGGUUGCGUCACGCGUUGGCAUCUGCCCUUCGGUUCGGGAUAACAGUUGGAAACGACUGUUAAUACCGGAUGCUGACGCAAGUCCAAAGAUGUAUCGCCAAAGGAUGAGCCCGCGUAGGAUUAGCUAGUUGGUGUGGUAAAGGCGCACCAAGGCGACGAUCCUUAGCUGGUUUGAGAGGAUGAUCAGCCACACUGGGACUGAGACACGGCCCAGACUCCUACGGGAGGCAGCAGUGGGGAAUAUUGGACAAUGGGCGAAAGCCUGAUCCAGCAAUGCAGCGUGAGUGAUGAAGGCCUUAGGGUUGUAAAGCUCUUUUACCCGGGAUGAUAAUGACAGUACCGGGAGAAUAAGCUCCGGCUAACUCCGUGCCAGACGCCGCAGUAA